UCCUGGGGAAAAUCAUUGGCCUGACACUUGCAUUUGUGAUACGAGUAUAAGCAAUAAACUAAGGGCAACCGAGGAAUGGGGAAACUGGUCAACCACCUGUGUAGACAAUCGGGCUGGUGGCGGGAGAAAAUCCUAGCCGGACACUCACGUAAGCAGGUAGAGGCAAUACAUUGGCCGAACACCUACAAAAUAACCUUACUGUAGAUACAGGCAAACAAUUGGCUGGACACCUGCGUAGUCAACACAGGUACAUGCGAUAUACUCUGGCUGGACACCUAUAGAGUAGUCUCUAUAUAGGUACAAGCAAUCCUAGUCAUGUGCACAAACUCUACCGAAGGCAACCGUUAUAUUCUUUUCCACCGGCAACAAUUAUACUUUUUCGAAGGCAACAAAUAACUUUCGAAGGCAACCGGGUGGGGUGUGUUUGAAAUCCACUGCUUUUGACAAUUAAACAUAAAAACUCUCUUUUUCUUUUCUGUUGUUAGAUAUGAUAUUUUAUAUGAAUAUGCUUAGGAUUAGGAAUUUUCUUUACUGUUUUUUGUAAUUAUUUUUUUUUCUUCCUAUUAUUAACUUUCAUUUAGUUAUUCUUGAAGCAUUUUUUUUCUUUCCUAUUGUUAGAUCUGAUAUUUUGUAUGAAUAUGCUUAGGAUUAUGAAUUUUCUUUCCUAUUUUUUGCACCUUUUUUUUUUCUAUUAUUAACUUUCAUUUAGUUAUUCUUGAAGCAUUUUUUUUCUUUCCUAUUGUUAGAUCUGAUAUUUUAUAUGAAUAUGCUUAGGAUUAUGAAUUUUCUUUCCUAUUUUUGCACCUUUUUUUUUCUUUCUAUUAUUAACUUUCAUUUAGUUAUUCUUGAAGCCUUUUUUUUUUCUUUCCUAUUGUUAGAUCUGAUAUUUUAUAUGAAUAUACUUAGGAUUAUGAAUUUUCUUUCCUAUGUUUUGUACUUAUAUUUUUUUUAAAUUUAUAUAUCAAGGUAUGAUAUCUUUAUUAAAAUCUUUCUUUAUUAUUAGAUUUCAUAAAAUAUGUUUUUAUAUUUUAAUUUAUAUAUUCGUUUUACUAAUUAAUUAAUUCUUGCCUUCAAGUGUCAAAUAUUUCUUCAAGCGAGGCAAUCCAGCUACUCUUUUCAAAAUGAUGGUUUUAGAAUAUUUAAAAGCCAUACCUAAAUAUUUCCCUGAACAUCCAGCUCAAGCAUAUAUAUGCAUACCAUGCCCAAGUUUUUGUAGCACAUUUCCUUGUAUGUAUAUAGGGGUCGUUUAGCAUGGCGAACUGUCAUGGAUUGGUAAAAGUAUGGAAUAAAACCUUCGCACGUGUGAUAAAUCAUCGUCUUAAAACUUUUCCUUGUAUGUAUAUAGAGGUCAUUUAGAGAUGGCUUAAAACAUGUUGGAAAGAUUUUAAUACUAAU
rnacentral:lncRNA from 1 species